rnacentral:sRNA from 2 species
AUACUACUGUCAAUCUAUCUAUUGCUGCUAAUCUAUUACUGCUGCUAAUUUAUUUACUGCUGUCAAUCUAUCUAUCACUGUUAAUCUAUCUACCACUGCUAAUCUAUUGCUGCUAAUCUAUCACUGCUAAUCUAUUACUGUCAAUCUAUCUACUACUGUCAAUUUAUCUAUUACUGUCAAUCUAUCUACUACUGUCAAUCUAUCUACUACUGUCAAUCUAUCUAUCACUGCUAAUCUAUCUACCACUGCUAAUCU